rnacentral:pre_miRNA from 1 species
AAUUAAACUUGAGGAAGAAAACGAGAAGGGACGGACAAAACACAAAAUUUUGUCCGUCCCUUCUCGUUUUCUUCCUCAAGUUUAAUUAU